rnacentral:rRNA from 1 species
UACGGAGGGUGCUAGCGUUGUUCGGAAUUACUGGGCGUAAAGCGCGCGUAGGCGGACCUGCAAGUCGGGGGUGAAAGCCCGAGGCUCAACCUCGGAACUGCCUUCGAUACUGCGGGUCUCGAGUCCGGGAGAGGUGAGUGGAAUUCCUAGUGUAGAGGUGAAAUUCGUAGAUAUUAGGAAGAACACCAGUGGCGAAGGCGGCUCACUGGCCCUGUACUGACGCUGAGGCGCGAAGGCGUGGGGAGCAAACAGG